AUACUAACCUAAUGGGAGAUACCAUGAUCAUGAUGGUGGUUUUCCCAGGGAGAAGCUUAGCCACUGAGUAAGAAUGUUUAGAAUGUGCUGACCCCUGUGAUUUCUCCAAAUGUAGGAAACACAAUGAUUUGAGGUAGUGGGGGACUGCAUUUGUGAUCUUUCUUG